GGGUGAGUAACACGUGGGUGAUCUGCCCUGCACUCUGGGAUAAGCCUGGGAAACUGGGUCUAAUACCGGAUAGGACCAUGCUUUAGUGUGUGUGGUGGAAAGUUUUUUCGGUGUAGGAUGAGCCCGCGGCCUAUCAGCUUGUUGGUGGGGUAAUGGCCUACCAAGGCGGCGACGGGUAGCCGGACUGAGAGGUUGGUCGGCCACAUUGGGACUGAGAUACGGCCCAG
rnacentral:rRNA from 1 species